rnacentral:rRNA from 1 species
GCGAACGCUGGCGGCAGGCUUAACACAUGCAAGUCGAGCGCCCCGCAAGGGGAGCGGCAGACGGGAGAGUAACACGUGGGAACGUACCUUUCAGUUCGGGACAACCAAGGGAAACUUUGGCUAAUACCGGAUACGCCCGUAAGGGGAAAGAUUUAUCGCUGAAGGAUCGGCCCGCGUCUGAUUAGCUAGUUGGUGAGGUAACGGCUCACCAAGGCGACGAUCAGUAGCUGGUCUGAGAGGAUGAUCAGCCUCACUGGGACUGAGACACGGCCCAGACUCCUACGGGAGGCAGCAGUGGGGAAUAUUGGACAAUGGGCGCAAGCCUGAUCCAGCCAUGCCGCGUGGAUGAUGAAGGCCUUAGGGUUGUAAAGUCCUUUUAACGGGGAAGAUAAUGACGGUACCCGUAGAAUAAGCCCCGGCUAACUUCGU